rnacentral:rRNA from 1 species
UACAGAGGGUGCAAGCGUUGUUCGGAAUCAUUGGGCGUAAAGAGCGUGUAGGCGGCCCGGUAAGUCCGCUGUAAAAGUCAAAGGCUCAACCUUUGAAUGUCAGUGGAUACUGCCGGGCUAGAGUCCGGAAGAGGCGAGUGGAACUCCUGGUGUAGCGGUGAAAUGCGCAGAUAUCGGGAGGAACACCAAUGGCGAAGGCAGCUCGCUGGGACGUGACUGACGCUGAGACGCGAAAGCGUGGGGAGCAAACAGG